rnacentral:lncRNA from 1 species
AAUUUAAUAAAAGCAUAGGGCCUAGCAGCAGUUUCAAUUUGACUCCCAUUGACACGUUCAAACUCAUUCUUAAGAUCUUCCAGGUAUUGAAAGGCAAGUUUCUUGGGAUAAGAGCGAUCGCACAUUGUCAAAUAACAAACACGGCCUUCAAUGAUAUAACUGAGCUCAUGAGUUAAGAGAUCACUGAAUCCCCAGAGAGCACCUUACUUUUAGUUGGUGGAAAGAAAGCUUUAGUAUGAAACAAGCAGCAGUUAAGUAUGUUUAUUUUGUAAAGCCUAGCGCAAUCAUAUGUGUAACUUGGAAAGAAAAUCCUGAGAUUUUGUUCAAUAAAUCAUACUUUCAUAUUUGAACAAUCAAAUCUCUAAUAUCAAACAUAAACUAUAGGAUAUAAUCCCAUGAAAAUAAGAAGGAAGAAAAAAGAGAGAACCAACUACAUGACAAAUGAUACAUGAUAGCAAGAGUAUUUGCUAAUCGAUAUUAAAGCUUUGAGUCUAAUGACUGACAGAGAAGCAUAUGUGUUUGGAUUUAUAUCAAUCAAUCAACCAUUCCUGAUUCUCAUAUUAGUUGGGGUAAACUAAAUAAAUCUCUUUUUUUCAAGGACAUAUGUUUUUGGAUUUAUAUCAAUCAAUCAACUAUUCCUGAUUCUCAUAUUAGUUGGGGUAAACUAAAUAAAUCUCUUUUUUUUCAAGGUGCGGUGCGCAAGGCCUAGACUGUAGUGCAACGCCUAGGCGAUGCGCGAAGGACCGGAUAGCAAGCUACCCUAAUGGACCUUCCCCCUUCAAAAAUUGAGUUAAUAUCGUGUGGGCCGAUGACCCACGUAUCAGAUAUUAAACUGAUAAGAAGCUGUGAACAGAUAAAUCUGUACACCAUUCCUCUUUAUUCAGAUUUAUGUCAUUCCAACUGGCCCUCAGGAUUUCUCGGUUAUAGAAAAAUUAAAUAAUGUUUUUUAAGACAAAUUAAGAGUUCUCCAAAACUAGAAGUUCUCUAUAUCUCACUUAUUCCUAAAAGGAUGUACAUGUCUCUAACUAGAAUAACAGGACUCCUCGCAAACACAUGAACUAGUGUUAUAUAAGUAACUAAUAAGCCUUAAUCCAAAUGAGUUGGAAUCAGUUAUAUGAACCAUUUGCUUCCAUUGCAUUCUGUUCUUAGUUGCGCUUUCGAUUACUGUGAUGCAAUAAAAUGUCAUAACUGACGCAACUCUUAACUUUAAUUUGACAAAGGUUGAUUUUGGCCCACCCUUUUGCACCACAGACAGCAUAGACUUUGUGAAUACUUUUGAGAAUAUAAAGACUUCAAGGAUAACAGCUCAUCUGACAAAUAUACGCCAAUUGGAGGAAUAGGCAGAGAUAAUACAAGAAAUACAUGGAGGCUUUUAUUUGGUAGCCUUAUGAUCACUGAAGUGACGAGUAUAGAAUUUUGCUUUCCAGGUGUAAAUUACGGAGAGAAAAAAGGAGGAACGAGUACUUCACACGUCAUAACAAAUAGGCGUUACCUCUAAUUAAUAUUUCAGGAUGACAAAUAAGCUAAAAAUUUGAAAAGCAAAGUAAUAGCAUAAAAUAGUAGUGAAUAAAGAAAUUGUCAGACAGUAUUUGGUAGCCUUUCAGGGCUGAAUUAUAAGAGAACACUAAGCAUCAGUAACUUCGCAGAUAUCUAGAAGAUGAAUGAGGAAGUGCUAAGGUUAGUACAACAAACCUUUCCAAAAUUAUGGGAUGGUAAUGAGAUCAGGUAAAUAUUGGGAUGAGAGACUUACGAUCCAACUUUUCACCAACACCUAAAACAUCUUGUACAUUUCGAGUCAUUAUCUGAUGAACUUCGUAAAGUUCAUCAUUCAACUUUGUAAUAUUGCGCAGAGUUCUGGUGUCCUGGUACAGUUUCUUUGUCCUCUGUAUAAAUGUAUCUUUUGAACCGAGAAAAAUUACAAAUUGCAAGAAGAAGAAAAAUUAGUAUUCAACAGAAGACCAAUUCGAAAUUAGAAAAGCACAAAGUAAAGGUAAGAACAUACCAAAUUUAAUAAAAGCAUAGGGCCUAGCAGCAGUUUCAAUUUGACUCCCAUUGACACGUUCAAACUCAUUCUUAAGAUCUUCCAGGUAUUGAAAGGCAAGUUUCUUGGGAUAAGAGCGAUCGCACAUUGUCAAAUAACAAACACGGCCUUCAAUAAUAUAACUGAUGUCAUGAGUUAAGAGAGCACUGAAUCCCCAGAGAGCACCUUUCUUUUAGUUGGUGCAAAG